rnacentral:rRNA from 1 species
CACGUAGGUGGCGAGCGUUGUUCGGAUUUAUUGGGCGUAAAGGGCGCGUAGGCGGAGGCUCAAGCUUGGUGUAAAAUACCCCGGCUCAACUGGGGAGAUGCGCUGAGAACUGAGCCACUAGAGUCCAGGAGGGGGAGCCGGAAUUCCAGGUGUAGGGGUGAAAUCUGUAGAUAUCUGGAAGAACACCGGUGGCGAAGGCGGGCUCCUGGCCAUGGACUGACGCUGAGGCGCGAAAGUGUGGGGAG